rnacentral:rRNA from 1 species
UACGGAGGGUGCAAGCGUUGUUCGGAAUUAUUGGGCGUAAAGAGCAUGUAGGCGGCUCGCCAAGUCUGAUGUGAAAGCCCUGGGCUCAACCCAGGAAGUGCAUUGGAAACUGGCGAACUUGAGUACGGGAGAGGAAAGUGGAAUUUCGAGUGUAGGAGUGAAAUCCGUAGAUAUUCGAAGGAACACCAGUGGCGAAGGCGGCUUUCUGGACCGAUACUGACGCUGAGAUGCGAAAGCGUGGGGAGCAAACAGG